rnacentral:rRNA from 1 species
AUUGAACGCUGGCGGCAGGCUUAACACAUGCAAGUCGAGCGGGGUGAUGGUGCUUGCACUAUCACUUAGCGGCGGACGGGUGAGUAAUGCUUAGGAAUCUGCCUAUUAGUGGGGGAUAACAUUGCGAAAGGGAUGCUAAUACCGCAUACGUUCUACGGGAGAAUGCAGGGGAUCACUUGCGACCUUGCGCUAUUAGAUGCGCCUAAGUCGGAGUAGCUAGUUGGUGGGGUAAAGGCCUACCAAGGCGACGAUCUGUAGCGGGUCUGCGAGGAUGAUCCGCCACACUGGGACUGAGACACGGCCCAGACUCCUACGGGAGGCAGCAGUGGGGAAUAUUGGACAAUGGGGGGAACCCUGAUCCAGCCAUGCCGCGUGUGUGAAGAAGGCCUUAUGGUUGUAAAGCACUUUAAGCGAGGAGGAGGCUCUUUUGGUUAAUACCCAAGAUGAGUGGACGUUACUCGCAGAAUAAGCACCAGCUAACUCUGUGCCAGCAGCCGCGGUAA